UGGGGAAUAUUGCACAAUGGGCGAAAGCCUGAUGCAGCAACGCCGCGUGAGUGAUGAAGGCCUUCGGGUUGUAAAGCUCUGUCUUUUGGGACGAUAAUGACGGUACCAAAGGAGGAAGCCACGGCUAACUACGUGCCAGCAGCCGCGGUAAUACGUAGGUGGCAAGCGUUGUCCGGAUUUACUGGGCGUAAAGGAUGCGUAGGCGGAUUUUUAAGUGAGAUGUGAAAACCCUAAGCUUAACUUGGGGACUGCAUUUCAUACUGGAAAUCUAGAGUGCGGGAGAGGAGAAUGGAAUUCCUAGUGUAGCGGUGAAAUGCGUAGGGAUUAGGAAGAACACCAGUGGCGAAGGCGAUUCUCUGGACCGUAACUGACGCUGAGGCAUGAAAGCGUGGGUAGCAAACAGGAUUAGAUACCCUGGUAGUCCACGCCGUAAACGAUGAGUACUAGGUGUAGGAGGUAUCGACCCCUUCUGUGCCGCAGUUAACACAAUAAGUACUCCGCCUGGGAAGUACGAUCGCAAGAUUAAAACUCAAAUGAAUUGACGGGGUCAUAGCUGUUU
rnacentral:rRNA from 1 species